GAGGGAUUGCCAUUUGUGGGGGUGUCUCCUGAUACCUCUGAAGUGAGGGGAUUGCUGGAGCCCAGGAGCUCUGGCCUGUAGUACACUAUGCUACAUGGGAUUCUGCAUUCCAUUCGGCAUUGUUGUGCUGACCUCCUGGGAGCCUAGGGGGGAGUGAGCUGGCCCAGGUCAGAAAUGGAGCAGGUCCUGAGCUAAUCAGUAGUGGGAACAUUCUGUGAUUGGCCACUGCAUGCCAGUCUGGGCAACAUAGUGAGACCUUAUCUCU
rnacentral:sRNA from 1 species